ACGGGUUUCGUGACAGACGAGCA
rnacentral:miRNA from 1 species